rnacentral:rRNA from 1 species
AACGAAAGCUGGCGGCAUGCCUAACACAUGCAAGUCGAACGAACCCUUCGGGGUGAGUGGCGCACGGGUGCGUAACGCGUGGGAACCUGCCCUUAGGUUCGGAAUAACAGUGAGAAAUCGCUGCUAAUACCGGAUAAUGUCUUCAGACCAAAGAUUUAUCGCCUUUGGAUGGGCCCGCGUUGGAUUAGCUAGUUGGUGGGGUAAAGGCCUACCAAGGCGACGAUCUAUAGCUGGUCUUAGAGGAUGAUCAGCCACACUGGGACUGAGACACGGCCCAGACUCCUACGGGAGGCAGCAGUGGGGAAUAUUGGACAAUGGGCGCAAGCCUGAUCCAGCAAUGCCGCGUGAGUGAUGAAGGCCUUAGGGUUGUAAAGCUCUUUUACCAGGGAUGAUAAUGACAGUACCUGGAGAAUAAGCUCCGGCUAACUCCG